AGAGAACCAAACUCUCAGGUUGUCACAUCUCUCAGGAGAGGUCCAUGUUAGGCAGUGACUCAAGCGCUAUUCUGAGGACUUCCUUUGCCUUUUAAGACACAAUAGUUUGGCCCUUCCUGUUGUGUACUGCCCUGCCCUGCUAGGCUGGCCGGCUCCUCUGAACUGAAAGAGCACUCACUGGUCUCUUCCCUGCUGCCUGGCUCUCACCGCUCUAGGGAGCCCAAGAGAAGAUCUGAUUGUGCCUGCCUGCCCCCUUUCCUUGUUAUGACCUUGAGAGGCAACAUUGAACAGCUAUUUUGUGCCACUCUGUGCUAGGCACAGGGCUUAAGAAAAGAAUGAGACAUGAUCCCUGCCUUUGAGGAGCUCCUCAUCCAGUGAGUCAAUGAUUUCAGGUUAUGGAUCAUCAAUGAUUGGACCAAGAUUGUGCCCUACCACCUCCAGUAGUCCUCAGCUGAAGAAUCUGUGUGCAGGAUAUAUUUGGAACUUUGAAGACAAGUUUUCUUCGGAUCUGUAUUGGUUUUGCCCGGAAGUCUACAGUCACUCUUAUCUUUGUUCUCCAGUAUGAGCCAAAGUGGAUCAAAACGAACCAAGCAGUCAUAAAGCCAGGAAGAAUGAAAACUCUGUUUCCCUUCUAUCCUGUUGGAGGCCCCUGAAAAAUGGAUUUGGGAAGGCUUGUCACAGGCUUCCACAGAGUUGACUCCAGAUAAUGUUUUCUUUAACCUCACUCAAAAAUACUGAAACCCAAAGGGGGAAAUGAUUUAGAAUGUUAAAAUUUUUUUCAAAUGUUGUAUGCCAAAAAAAUAAUAUGUAGAUGUGUGAAUGAUGUGACUUUGUGUAUAGAGGUGAAUAUAUAAUCUGCAAAUACAGACUCAUAUUAAGUUAAUUAAUAUAAGUAAGACAUGCUUCUCCAUGGCAAUCUAAUUUCAGAAACAGUCAAAAGCUUUAAGACAAGCUCCAUGAUAUUUGGCUCUGAGCCCCACAGAUUUUGUAUAAUAAACUACAACCCUCUCCUUCAUCCCAGGCUUCUCAUUUUCCCUUACAAUCCAGGAUCUUGGCAUAAACCAUCACUCUGUAGUUUUGUUCUUGCUCUGCUGGUACCCACCUCUGGAGUUCUGCUUCCAAGGUUCUACACCACCAUUCCCAAGGUUGGAAGACAAUUACAGUCAUGUGUUGCUUAAGACAGGAAUACUUUCUGAGAGAUGUGUCAUUGGGCGAUUUCUUUGUUGUGUGAACAUCAUAGAGUGUACUGAAGGGGAACAAAACUUAACACCCCAAAAUGUGUCUCUUUAACAUGAGAGUUA